UACGUAGGGGGCAAGCGUUGUUCGGAAUUACUGGGCGUAAAGGGCGCGUAGGCGGCCGGAGAAGUCGGGUGUGAAAGCCCGGGGCUCAACCCCGGAACGUCUCUCGAAACUGACCAGCUAGAGUGCGGAAGAGGCAACUGGAAUUCCCAGUGUAGCGGUGAAAUGCGUAGAUAUUGGGAAGAACACCUGAGGCGAAGGCGGGUUGCUGGGCCGACACUGACGCUGAGGCGCGAAAGCCAGGGGAGCGAACGGG
rnacentral:rRNA from 1 species